UGAUCCUGGCUCAGGACGAACGCUGGCGGCAUGCCUAAUACAUGCAAGUCGAACGCCAAAUCUUCCUGCUUGCAGGAAGAGGCGGAGUGGCGAACGGGUGAGUAACACGUGAGGAACUUGCCCAUAAGAGGGGGAUAACACCCGGAAACGGGUGCUAAUACCGCAUAGGUUUUCCCAGUGCAUGCUGGGGAAAUGAAAGGUGGCUCUGCUACCGCUUAUGGAUAGCCUCGCGGCGCAUUAGCUAGUUGGUAGGGUAAAGGCCUACCAAGGCCAUGAUGCGUAGCCGACUUGAGAGGGUGAUCGGCCACACUGGAACUGAGACACGGUCCAGACUCCUACGGGAGGCAGCAGUAGGGAAUCUUCCACAAUGGGUGCAAGCCUGAUGGAGCAAUGCCGCGUGAGUGAAGAAGGACUUCGGUUCGUAAAGCUCUGUUGUUGGGGAAGAACACGGAUAGGAGUCACUGCCUAUCCCUUGACGGUACCCAACCAGAAAGUCACGGCUAACUACGUGCCAGCAGCCGCGGUAAUACGUAGGUGACAAGCGUUGUCCGGAUUUAUUGGGCGUAAAGCGAGCGCAGGCGGUCCGGUAAGUCUGAUGUGAAAGCCCACGGCUCAACCGUGGAACGGCAUUGGAAACUGGCGGACUUGAAUGUAGCAGAGGAAAGUGGAAUUCCAUGUGUAGCGGUGGAAUGCGUAGAUAUAUGGAGGAACACCAGUGGCGAAAGCGACUUUCUGGGCUAUGAUUGACGCUGAGGCUCGAAAGCGUGGGGAGCGAACAGGAUUGGAUACCCUGGUAG
rnacentral:rRNA from 1 species